AUAUUUUACCCAAAUCUAAAAAUCUGAAAUCUAAUCCAGAAAGUCUUCCAUCUAAUUUAAACUUUACGCUUCAUUUGGUUCAAUGUAAUGGCAAAGCCAUUAGGGACAGUUCCAAUUUCUACAGUAAAGCAAAGGUUUUGUUCGUUGGAAAGCUUAAAAAGGCAAAUGGCGAUUACAGCUUCAUUUCGAAAAUCGUUGAAUAGCCAUUCAGGGGAGGAGGUUCCGAAUUCGCUAUUCCAACCUCUCCACUAAAUGAUCUUCUUUGCCCUUCCGAAAACACCCUCAGAUUGAAAUUUCUCAACAAUUUCACUUUUUUUUUCCUUAGCCAUCAACAAUCUCACGCUCAAAUUGACCUGAAAGGAAGCAAAUCAACUUGAAGGCCAAAGACCCACACCUCGUUUACCACUCCUAAGCGAUUCCAACCUAUCAUUGGAAUUGAUUGAUGAGAAUGCAAGUCUUUCUGGCAGUGCCACCGUAUGGUACUAAUAAAGCUGUUGGGUUUUUAACUAUGAUGGAAGUAUAAGGUUUGGAAGUCAACAUUGUGGUAUUAGCACUGCCAUUGGCUGUCUUCAUUGUUAAAGGAUGCUCUUGAUCUCUUAUUUGGAAUUGAAGGUGAAAGGCAUUAGAUCAAUAUUGUUAUUACCGAUUAUGCUUAAUUCAUGGCAUGUGUAAUUGAUGAAAUGUUGUUAUCUACAACAUCAAAAAUCAUCCCUUCCUUUCUUAAUUCUUGGUAUAAGUAAUAUAUUGAUUGGUGCACAUUGCAAUGAGGCAAUGAUUUCUGAAGCUUUAUAUACAAUUGACACAAUGAACAAGCGAGUGAUUACAAGGUAUGUUUCUAAAGCUGAGGAUAUUGUUGACACAAUAAUAAAGCGAGACAUUGAGCAAAUUGUUUUAUAGUUAACUUGGAUAUGAUGCACCAAGACGAUUCAUAUCCUAUGGGAAAUGUGCCUCAACUCGUCGAGACUACUCCUGUGUCUACCACUGAUUCCUACUAUUACUGGUCAGGUGAACAAUUCAAUGAGAUAGUGGGAAGCCCAUAUUACAUGGCUCCAGAGGUUCUCAAACGUAAUUAUGGCCCAGGGGUUGAUGUCUAGAGUGCUAAAGUUAUCGUAUAUAUUUUACUUUGUGGUGUGCCACCGUUUUUUGAAGACAGAGACUGAACAAAGGGUGGCACAAACAAUGAUUCACUCUGCUAUUGACUUUAAGAGGGACCCAUGGCCUAAAGUUUCAGACAAUGUAAAGGACCUUGUAAAGAAAAUGCUUAAUCCUGAUCCAAAGCAGUGUCUUAUAGUACAGGAAGUGCUUGGUAACCUUCUGUACAUGUUACAUGCUUUAUUUAUGUUGAUAUAUAUUUUCUAUGCAUAAAAAAUCAUCCCAACUAUUGUAUCUAGAACAUCCAUGGCUACAAAAUGCCAACAAAGCACCCAAUGUUCCGUUGGGUGAGACUAUGAAAGCUAGACUCAAACAAUUUUCUAUAAUGAACAAGUUGAAGAAGAGAGCUCUAAGGGUAAUAA